rnacentral:rRNA from 1 species
CCUACGGGUGGCAGCAGUAGGGAAUAUUGCUCAAUGGGGGAAACACUGAAGCAGCAACGCCUCGCGGAGGUUGAAGGUUCUCGGAUUGUAAACUCCUUCUGUUAGAGAAGAUACUGACGGUAUCUAACGAAUAAGCACCGGCUAACUCCGUGCCAGCAGCCGCGGUGAUACGGAGGGUGCAAGCGUUACUCGGAAUCACUCGGCGUAAAGAGCGCGGAGGCGGGAUAGCAAGUCAGAUGUGAAAUCCUAUGGCUUAACCAUAGAACUGCAUUUGAAACUGUUAUUCUAGAGUAUGGGAGAGGUAGGUGGAAUGCUUGGUGUAGGGGUAAAAUCCGUAGAGAUCAAGCGGAAUACUCAUUGCGAAGGCGACCUGCUAGAACAUAACUGACGCUGAUGCGCGAAAGCGUGGGGAGCGAACAGGAUUAGAUACCCGAGUAGUC